GGGGAUAUAGCUCAGUUGGUAGAGUGCUGGCCUAACAUGCACAAGGCCCUGGGUUCAAUCCCCAGCACCACUA
rfam:Ictidomys tridecemlineatus contig013431, whole genome shotgun sequence.